GGAGAAUUCGCCUAGUGGCCUAUGGCGCCAGCUUGGAAAGUUGGUUGGGUGCAAGCCCUCAUGGGUUCGAAUCCCAUAUUCUCCG
rnacentral:tRNA from 2 species